ACUUCUCUAACAAUUAGUAAACCUUGGUUGAACGGAAUUAAUAAAGCGAAUUAGCGAACGAAUUGAAGUUGCUCGUCACCUCCAUUGAUAACAACUACUAAUCUUUGAGAUUCUUCUCAUCAUGGCAAAAUCAGUUAUUUACAGAUUGACGGAGGAGAAAACUGCUUUUCUACAUUACAGCAACAGACUUUGCCAAGAAUUGGAUGCUUGGAGGACAACACUUCUUCGAAGAGUGAAGGAAACAUUGAAGGCUAAGGGGCUCGAGGAAGAUGAUCUAUCUUAAUUUGUUCCCCUUUGACCUAUUGUAAACUACUAGUACAUCCUUUAUGUGAUUUUAUUUGUACUGCUUUCAAAUAUGAUACUUUAGUUCUUUGUAUUAACAAGAUAUCAAGUAUUUGGUUUAUUUUCCAGUGUUGUUGAG